rnacentral:rRNA from 1 species
AUUGAACGCUGGCGGCAUGCCUUACACAUGCAAGUCGAACGGCAGCACGGGAGCAAUCCUGGUGGCGAGUGGCGAACGGGUGAGUAAAGUAUCGGAACGUGCCCAGUCGUGGGGGAUAACGUAGCGAAAGUUACGCUAAUACCGCAUACGAUCUAUGGAUGAAAGCGGGGGAUCGCAAGACCUCGCGCGAUUGGAGCGGCCGAUAUCAGAUUAGGUAGUUGGUGGGGUAAAGGCUCACCAAGCCGACGAUCUGUAGCUGGUCUGAGAGGACGACCAGCCACACUGGGACUGAGACACGGCCCAGAUUCCUACGGGAGGCAGCAGUUGGGAAUUUUGGACAGUGGGCGAAAGCCUGAUCCAGCCAUGCCGCGUGCAGGAUGAAGGCCUUCGGGUUGUAAACUGCUUUUGUACGGAACGAAAAGGUUUGGCCUAAUAAGCUGAGCUCAUGACGGUACCGUAAGAAUAAGCACCGGCUAACUACGUGCCAGCCGCCGCGGUAA